rnacentral:rRNA from 1 species
UACGAAGGGUGCAAGCGUUGUUCGGAUUUAUUGGGCGUAAAGGGUGCGCAGGCUGGUUUGUAAGUCAGGUGUGAAAUCUCGAGGCUUAACCUCGAAAUUGCGCCUGAAACUGUAAGUCUAGAAUGUCGGAGAGGGAAGGGGAAUAUCUUAUGUAGGGGUAAAAUCCGUAGAGAUGAGAUGGAACACCAGAGGCGAAGGCGCCUUCCUGGACGAUUAUUGACGCUGAGGCACGAAAGCGUGGGGAGCAAACAGG